AGGGAAUCUUCCACAAUGGACGCAAGUCUGAUGGAGCAACGCCGCGUGAGUGAAGAAGGUCUUCGGAUCGUAAGGCUCUGUUGUUGGUGAAGAAGGAUAGAGGCAGUAACUGGUCUUUAUUUGACGGUAAUCAACCAGAAAGUCACGGCUAACUACGUGCCAGCAGCCGCGGUAAUACGUAGGUGGCAAGCGUUGUCCGGAUUUAUUGGGCGUAAAGCGAGCGCAGGCGGAAUGAUAGGUCUGAUGUGAAAGCCCACGGCUCAACCGUGGAACUGCAUCGGAAACUGUCAUUCUUGAGUGCAGAAGAGGAGAGUGGAACUCCAUGUGUAGCGGUGGAAUGCGUAGAUAUAUGGAAGAACACCAGUGGCGAAGGCGGCUCUCUGGUCUGCAACUGACGCUGAGGCUCGAAAGCAUGGGUAGCGAACAGGAUUAGAUACCCUGGUAGUCCAUGCCGUAAACGAUGAGCGCUAGGUGUUGGGG
rnacentral:rRNA from 1 species